UAACCAUGGAAAUUCCUUUUGCCCCUCCGAUUUAUGAAAGAUAAAUUUUUGAGAAAAUAUCCAUGGAAUAUAAAACCUGUGGAAAAAUUAUAAAAGCAGAGAAAUUUGAAGAUCAUCGUGAAAUCUCUGUGUCAAUUAUUCAUAUCCUUCUCGAACUGGAGGAGGAAGAAUCUCAAACUCAUGAUCAUAAAUCUUCCAUCAUUGGUGCAAGAGCCGUUGGAGAAAUUCCGAAGCCAGUUGCUUUCCCUAGAGAAAAAAUCAAAAAUGUUUGUCAGUUUUAUUUUGAAAGAUGAAUGCAUUCAUCCAUACUCUUUAGUAGUCAAAAUAGUUAUAAUAUUGGGGAUUAACAGCUUUAGUAAGUUUCUGAUAUUUGGUUGGAUGCAUACCCUAUUUUUUGGGUGAGAUUAUUUUGUUAAUUCAAAUCGUGGUAUGAGUAACAUAAGAUUGGGUUUGUUUAUCUUUGUGGGAUUUGAAUAAACAGGACUUGGUAUCUGUGAGGAUAAAUUCAUAAAACUCCUGGUUAUAGGCAGAAGUAUUUUAAAUAAAAUUUACUGAAGAGAUAAGUAUUUGCUUAGCUAUCUCUUGGGGGUUGGAGUGGUAAUAUUCAGCUUCAAUUUAUAUUAGCAGCAAAAUACUAUCAUUUUUGAAAUCAGUUAAAGAUCCUUUAUUGGAGAAAAUUGAUUGUGUUAUAUGUGAGGAAAUUAUUUUUCUUGGUAUAGGACAAAUAUUUAAAUUAUUUUGUGAAAAGUUAAAGAAAAAAUUGAUAGAGUUUUCUACCUUCAUUGUAUUUUUCAUAGUGCUUUUAGCAAUCACAGAAUGAGAAGAUGAUGUGUGGCUUGAGGCCUCCGCUUUUGAAGAAAAUAUUUUCUGAAAGAUCUGUAAAUCUCUUAGAUAAUCCUUUCUGUUAGCGCCUAUCAUGAUCGUUGGAUCUUUAAGACCCAUGAGUGAGCACAAUUGUUUAAAAUCAUCUUCUAUCCAUGGGACAAACACUGUUUGGGCUAACUGAACCUUUUUUCCUUCUUCUUCUUCAAUUAAAUCAUUCCAUUUCUUGAGAUUGGAAAUUGAUAUUGGAUUUGAACUUGUUUGCAUCAUAAAAUAUUGAGGUAUUCCCUGCAUGGCAUAAUCAGAUGGGAUUUGAUAUCUUGGCUGAUCUUUUUUAGUUGUUUUUGUUGAAAGUUGCUUGGACGCAACCGUAAUUUUUUGCUAUGGGGUAAUAACUUUUUGGGUGGUCUCUUUUGGGGAUGGAAAAGACGAAAUUUGUGGAAUAGUUUCUUCGUUCUUUUUUCUGGACAUUUUAUCUUCCCUGCAAGAAUUUUCUAGUAAGAAAUUCUGGUACAGAGUUGGAGCUCCCUUUUAUAUAUUCAAUAUCAAAAUAAAAAAUAAAUAAAAUAGCUUGCCAACUAAAAAAUAUAUGCUUAAAGGCUAGAUUUUGUACAUCCUUUUGUAAAACAACUUUUGCAGCUUUACAAUCUAUCCUAAACAAAAAAUUUUGAUUUAAUAAAUCAACUUGAAAUUUAGAAAUACAUAACACAAUCACUAAAAUUUCUUUUUUGACAGUUGGAUAGCUUUGUUGGGAUUUAUUUCAAUGCUUGGAUGCAAAUGCAAUUGUAUGUUCUUUAUUAUUUUUCUUUUAUUUUAAAAAGCCACCAUAACCUAUAUCUGAUGCAUCUGUCUCAACUAUUUUGAAUGCAGAAGGAUCAAGGAGGGACAGACAAGGGAGAUUUUUGCCUUCAAUUUGAUUUCUUUGACUAUAUUGAUAUAGAUGUUAAUCCACAGAGGAAGAGGCAUUUUCAAUCUGUCAUGGAGUGGUUUUAAUAAAUUGUUAAGUCUGAGGAUAAAAUCUUCUAUAUAAUUGACACAACCUAAAAACCUUUGGAGUUGAGUUUUAUCAAGAAUAUGGUCAGAAAAUUUAUUAGUAAAUUGAAUGGACCGUUGAAUCAGGGUAAUAUUUUCCUAAUAGAUAUUGUGACCGAGAACUCCAAUAUCAAUCCGAAAAUGACUAUACUUAAUUUUAGAUAAAAUUAAGCCAUUUUUCCUGAUGACAUUAAAGAAAAUUCAACAUCUGGGUACAUGCGUAAGUCCUCAUAACUUAGCCCUUUCAACCCCUUACUACAUUUAAGAUGUUCCAACCUUUUCAAUCAAAAAUUGUAUAAGGGUGACUUUUUUUGUGUGUUUGGAUUCAUAUUAGUGGUGGGUGAAUGGGGUCGUUUUGACAUAACUUGGAUCUAAAAUAUGGCUGCUUGGAUCAUGAAAAUGAGCAUAUUUGUGGUAAAUAUUGACGGCAUAUUAUGAACAUAUGAUGUUGUUUAAGAAUUUAGUAGAGCUGGAUAUGUAUGGCAUUCUGGUAGACAUGAAUAUGGAUAUGGGUAAUUUUUUAGAAGUGUGUAUAUGUGACUUGAAUUGUUUGGAGGUAUGAAAUAGGAAGUGAUGAUAAGGGAUGACUUGUAAAUGUGACAUGAUAUUUGAUAGCGGCAUUACCCUCAGCUUACGUCUCGAGAGGAGUAUUUAAAGUAGGGGUAGAUUAGACAAGUUACAGGCUUGUGACAAUUCCGCUUGUAAUUGAAAAUUCUUUGUUGCAUUCGUAAGAUCAUCUCAUAAUGCUCAUUACUAGUAUCGUUUUUAUCACCCAUUUUUCUGUCUUGGUGACUAAGCUUUAAGAGAAGGAGUUUGAGCCUUUUCAAUUAAUGCAAUAGGCGAGAAAAUGUGCGAAUCGAUCCUUUGGUGUGGGGAAAAAAAUAAAAUUAACCAUAAAAAUAAAAUAAAAAUAAAAAAAGAGUCAAGUUAGUAAAGUGAAGGUGAUGUAUAGUGAAAGAAUAAACACGUUAAUUUGCAAGAAUAAAACAUUCUAUAGUGUAUGGAGCCUUAUUAGGUCUGAGGUAGGCCUAGAAUGACACAUAUAUGUGACUUGUGAUAUUAUAAUCUAUGUUUAACGCAAUAAAAGUUUGGAAUUAGAAUAUCCUAAGCUCAUUGGCUCAAUCUUUGUUUUGGAUUACUUUAUCAUGAUCACAAGACGCAUCGCAUGAAUAUUUAUUGUUGGAAGGGGUAAGGAGAGAAUAAGGAGAUACAAUCCAAAUAGUGUUUUUCCUUGGGCGAGAAGAAAAAUGAUGAAAUUUUUCUGAAUAUUGAGAAUAUUUAACAUAUCACGAAUUUUCAAAAGAGUCGAUUGGGAAAAUGAUAACUUAAAAAAAGUACUUUGAACAAAAUAAGAGCCAGUAUACAGAAUAAAAGAAGAUAUAUUAUGACAUUAUGAGUCAUCUAAUCAAAGAGAACUUUAGGACGAAUGGAUGAGUUAGAACUUAAGCUUGAGAAGGAAAUUGAUGUCAAAAGAUAAAAGAUAGACUAUAAACAAGAUCUAGGUACUAAGUUUGUAUUUGAAGCUGAUGGAGUGAAUAAGUAAAUAAUGAUAAGAUGUUUAAAAGAUGCACAUAAAAUGUUUAAAGAAGUUUUGUCUUGAAGAAAUGGAAGGAUUUGAAGAUUUCAAAAGUUUGAAAAUUUUGAAGAGUUAACUGAGGUAUUUAGCUUGAAACACUUGAGAAUUUGAAAGAUUAUGCAAAAAAUUAUUCGAGUAAUCCAAAGAAAGGUUCUAGUUUUCACCCUUAUAACAUUAUGAAAAGGUGAAAGAAAGGGGAAUAUGAUUUGGUAGAAAAACUAUUUGAAUGAUAAAGAUUGUUUCACAAUUUUAAAUAUAGGGAUAUUUUGUAAAAGAAAGGGAAAAUAAAGACCGCACCCUUAUAAAGGAUUGCCUAUGUAUCUUGUUAGAACAAGAAUCAGAUCAGACGUAGUUCAAAAUUUGAGACUUAUAACCAGUUACAAAAAGCAGGUCGAGAUGAAUUAUAGAUGAAAUAAUCAAGGAAUGUUGUCAAAUAUAAAUAUAAGAACAAAUUAAGAAAAUAACAAAUUUGACAUAUGCAUAUAAGUCAUGAAGACAUGCUAGAUUUAUCAGGAUUUAUAUUCCUCAGUAAAGAAAUAUACGAUUAAACUCUAGAUAAUAAGAGUGAUUUUUGACAAGGUUCCCUCAAGCAGACAACUUGAGAGUGAAAAAGCUUGUGACUGUCGACGCACCGCUAAUCGACCGAUCCACAAGACAUUUCACAAAGGGUGUUUUAGGAAAGAACGUCUGUACAACCACGCUACCGUUCGUAAAACGAAAAUAAAGGAGGUUCCAAGUAGAGGAAAGUAUGACCGAAAUGACAGUUUAUCGAAAGCGGUAACACAUAGCACAUAGCAAAAAUACAAUGACAUAUUCAACAAAAUAACACAACAUAUAGUCAAAUAUUAAGGAAAAAGGGAAAAUGGGAUAAACAUGAAGGGGCAUAUAAAAAAAAAUAAAAAGGAACAGGGGAAAGGGUUAACAUGUAGCAAAAUAAAUUAUGAUAGUAAAAAAAAAAUAACAUUACACAAACAUCAUAAAUACAAAUUCAGAAAAAUAAAAAAUCUCACGUAAAAUAUAAAUUCGUAAUGUUUAGAACCUAAGUAUCCCCAGUAGAAUCGUCAUUCUGCCACGCCUUAUUUUUCUCGCAAAAAGGGAGAUUUGACGUGACAACUCUUUUUUGGAAUUGUUAACAGAGUGAGAAGAGUCGCCACCUAACGAAUUAAGGUGCGUUAGGGAAUCAUUCUAGGCUAAUUAUGAACCUAUCUUGUUAUUUAGUCUAUUUCAUAAGAAAUUCGGGUAAGGGUUCAAAUUACUUCGAAAGGAAGGUGUUAGGCACCUUUCGAGGUCCAUAAAGAUGGUUACCGACCGAAUUCAUACUUUACAUGGGGAUUCUCUAUGAUAAAUAAAGGUCUCUUAUUUUGUAAACUUAAUAUAGCUAAGUGAUAAGGUAAUGAAUAAACAAACAUGUAAUUUGAUUAUUUUAACUACAAUUACAUAAGUGAUAAAAUCAAUUAGCAUAUAAAUAAGACAAGCGAGGAGAGAGAAUGAGCACAAUUUAUGACAAAAUACUUAUAUUAAAUUAAAGAUCCUAAACUUCCCCAAGCAAAUAAACAUAUAAAAUAAAAGAGAAAGAAAACAAGUACAGAGGAUUAAACAAAGGAGUUAAUUUAUUUUAUUCAGAUCAGUACCCAACUUGUUAAUCAUCACCCGACCCAUUAACCAGAAACCGAAUUAUAAAUGAAUAACAGUAUCGUAUGUCGCAUUGUCUAAUUAUACUUGGGUUAUCAUCACCUUUGAUUGUCUACCCACCCCCACCUAGGCUGGUUGUCAAACCUAAAAGCGUUCUAAAAGAAAAGGAUAAAACUAACACCUCUAAAAUACCUGUCGUCCCAACCUAUCAUCCAAGAGGAAUUAAAAUUUUCUAUUUUGAAUUUGGGGUCUAGACAAAUAAAACUAGGUUUUCUAGUUAGAUUCUAAGUGCAUAAACACAUAGGACAACAUUUAGCAUAUAAAAGUCUCAAAGAAGCCUCUUAUUAUAAUUAAGGAUUAGUUAAAGUGAUCUAUAAGCUAAGACAAAUAAUUACUCAUUUUGGUGUCACUAACCUAUAGGCAUGAUGUCUAAGUGAAAAGUAAUUAUUUAUUGAUGAAAAGUAAUUGUCAAACCAUUUCAAAACAAUAUUAUAGAUUUAUUAAAAAGCAUGUCGAAAUAAGGUAAAAUACGUUAGGGAGUCAUAUCCAUUAAUUUCGUUAUGCAAAACAUAUUAUAAAUCAGUAAAAGUGUUAAAAGAGUUAAUUUUAGAGCUUAGGGAGCAUAUGCAUUUGCCGAAAAUAAUUAACAUGUAAGAAAUUAUUUCUGAGAAUCAAAAGAAUAUUGCUGGAAAUUAAUUUUAAUACUAAAAAUAUUAUUUAAAGUGGUGAAAAUGUCAUUUGAUGUUGAAGAUUAAAAUUUUAUUGCUGAAAUAUUAUGAAAUCUGCUCAAAGUUAAAGUUAAUUGCUGGAAAUUAAUAAAUAGUGCUGAAAAAUUAACUUAAGGACAAAAAGUGAGUUAAUUCCUCAUGCAUCACUUAACUUAGAAAAAUGUCUUACUAAAGUCACUUAUCUUUUUUUUUAUUUCAAUAAUGUCAUUCAACUUUAUACAUUUUUCCUCUCAAACAAAAAAUUGCUAAAAUAGUCCUUGUUCUUUAUGGGAAAAAUGAGCAAAAUAGUCCCUUUAAGUUAAACCAUGAAUUUAAAUAGUCUUUAUUCUUUUACUUCAAUAUUAAUAUGCCUCCAACUAUAUUACACAUUUUUAAUUCAUUACAUACUCCCUCUAUCCCGGCACUCCAUUUUACACGGUGAUUAAGAAAUAAAAAAUUGAAUGAAAUUUUAUUAUUUUACCCUUUAACAAUAUUAAUGACAUGGGCAAUGAAUAUUGAAAUUGAAAUUGUUCACAUUUUAAUGUAUACUAUGAAUUGUAGGGGUAUCAUGAAAAAAAAUAAUUGAUUCUAUUUUGAUCUAGUAAGUGCUCAACAAACAUGAGUCAUUUAUUUUUAGUAUGACGACCAACUAAAAUGAGACGGAGGCAGUAAUGAAAUUUAAAAAGACAUAUCACAAUAUUAUAAAGCAAAAGAUAAAAUAAAAUUGAGAGAUGUAUUUAGUUUUUAAACUCCAUUUGAAGAGGUAAUAUAAUUUUUUUUCCAAAUAAUAUUACAAGAUUGACAAAAAUAAUAUUUAAAAAUUUUAACAUUUUUAAUCACACAAUGGUUAUAUGAAUUUUUCUAAUUUUAUUUGAUGUUGAUUGAUAUAUGAUAUUAUCAUGAUGUCCUACGACAAUAUUUUAAUUUGUUAUAGAAAUUCUUUAAAAUAUUUAUAUAUGAUUGUUUUUCUGCUAGCUAGAGAGUCGUAAGGUUAAAGAGAUUCACCGUCUUCUAUAUGAAUUAUGAUUUUACUGACAUUUAUUUUUAGAAGAAACUAACAAUUAAAUUUGACCUAUUAUAAAAAUUAAUCAUAAAAUAAAUAAAUAUAAAAUAUUAUUUUAGCUCUGAACUACUAAGUACCAAUCACAUUUUCUGGUGGACUACAUACUUUAAUAUUACAACUAGAAGUUGAAUUAAAAUUAUACACACUAUUUUUUAUAGUUAAAAAGUUAUUAAUAUUUCAUAUUGUUAAAGAACAUUGAUCAUUUCAAUUCAAAAAUUAACUUAAGAGACUAUUUUGGUUAUUUUCGUUUAAAGAAUAAGGACUACUUUAACAAUUAUUAAUUUGUAGAAAAAUAUACAAAAUUUAAUGACAUUAUUUAAACAGAAAAAAGAUAAAAAAUGAUUUUAGUGAGAUACUCUCCUAAGUUGAGGGAAUUGACUCGACAAAAAGUUAAUAAAACAUGUGGGGAAACUACAUAAGCAUGCUGUAAAAAUAAAUUAAGGUUUGAAAAUAUAUCAAAGUUAUAAAAACGUUCCAUAAAUCAAAUGAAAAGUUCGAAAUUAAUUUAAUAGGCCAAAGGUUAAUUAAAACCUCUAGAAUGAAAUUUCUAGGUGAUAAAACCAAUUUAUUGUUAAUCCAAAAUUAAUGAUUUGCCUAAGUGAGAACAAAAUCACAUAGUCCCCGCCCCCUCAAGCAGUUCUCAUUUUAUUACUACAAUACAUGGUUUGUACAAUAAACUAUUACAUGUCCAAAAAAAAUGGAAAGUGAAAAGGAAACAGAAAAAACAUAAGGAAUGAGGGUUAACAACAUCCCCCAAUUUUCGACGACUCUUCAUUUACGUCGAAGGGCUAGAUAGCAUCUGUAGUACAGACAACAUAUCCCAAAUGCACAACAAACAAACAUAUAGCAUUCUAAUUGAAAGAACAUACGGAGACAAUGAUGAAUUCACCAACAUGUCAUGUCAAACAACUUAAUAUAAAUUAGAAGGCAAUCAAGACAAACAUCGGAUCAUUUAAUCUAACGUGUAAUAAUUCAAUAUGUUGUUUAUGAAACUAACCAUUUUAGUGACGACAACCAAGUAAACAAAAGUCCGAGAAUCAGCACACACGUAGCAAUCGUAGUGAGACACCAACUCCAAAUUUCUUUUAGCAGUAUCAGCCGAAAGAAUAAAAAAGAAUUUAUUUUUGUUUUUCGUAAAGCCGAAGUAGUUAAAAACCUUUUUUCCGUGAUCGCCAGUGAAAAAGUUCUGAUUUUUCUUAUAAUGAGGUGGGUCCUUUAUAUAGUGAAGAAGUCACCAUGUAAAAGGAAGAGGAAUAUUCACCUGGUUAAUUGCGGGGGGUAAAACGGGAUGAAAAUAUUUCAACAUCAAUUGAGGAAAUAAAAGAGGAAAAAAAUAUCCAAAUAAAAAUCAAUUCAAUAAAAGAAUUCGUAAUGAGGAGGAAAAUAUGCUAAGUUAUCAUAAAUAAACCCAUACAAAUCUAUCAAAAACUGUACAUUAUUGUGAGUUUUACUCUAAGGAAGCUAUUAAUUCGAUUAAAAAUAUUAAAUUAAGCAAAAUAGUUGUUCUCAAUCACCCACAAAUCAAAUAUGUGCCUAAAUUAUUCAAGUAACAAAGCUGUCAUGCAAAGGAAGAAAAGAAAAUCGUAGACCUUAUCAAAAUUAACUAAACACCAAAAUUAUCUCAAUUAGGAGGGUGAACAGUCAAACUUUUUAUCAAGAAUCAAACAAUCAGCAUUUAAUAACGUCAAAUAUUAUUUUGCUAAUUGUAUCAAAAAUCAGUGCAGAAUCAUAUCAUAUUUAAGCGGAGCGGCAAGCAUAAUCGGUCUUAGCAUACAUCAUGACUCCUUUCUAUCGGUGUCAUCCAAUUAAUUUAACAGCUUCAAUUGAUAGACGAGAACACAACGAUUAGCAAAUCAGUACCCAAUUUUAAAAAUUAAGGUUAUCUAAGGUUGAUAGAAAUUGGGGCUUUUCAGAUGUGGUAGUCUAGGGAUGCAAAUAAUCAUGAAAUUGAAAAGAUUGAGAAGGAAUUAACAAUCAAAAUGUAUAAAUCAUGAGAAUCAGCCUAUGCAACACAUAUAGAUUUGACCUAAUUAAACACACAAUGGGUUAUAUAAAAUCACACCAGAGAAGAAUUUAUAAAGAAUUUUAAUCUGAAACCUUGCAAAUCGUCCAAACCAUUGAUGUAUCACACGGGUCUUUCUUUACUCUGGCGAGACAGUGGGUUUAAACAACUAUUGGUGAUCGUUCGGUGAUUGUAGAAGCGGCGGCAACACUUCUUGUAGGAGUGGUGAUCGUCAGCAGGAGAGGAGAAUGGAGCAGGGGCCAUAGUUAUGGAUGCUCCGCCGGCUACUGCUGGCGGUGGGUGGCUGUUAUUGUUGGUAUAACGGGGAUGCAUGAAGAGAGGUUUUUGGAAGAGAGAAAAGACAGAAGAGAGGUACGGCGGAGGUGCGGUCGUCGGCGACAGGCAGUGAGGAGGUUCGCCGGCCCUGACUGAUUUCUAUAGAGAGAGAAGAGAGAGAGGGAGAGAGAAAAAGUUGUAGAUGAUUAUUAAAAGUAGUUAGGGUUAGGGUAAUUAUUUGUGAGAAGAAUAAGAUUUAAUCUCAGUCGUCGAUCAUAUGAGAUUGACGACUAUGAUUA
rnacentral:lncRNA from 1 species